CUGAGGAAAAGAAACUAACAAGGAUUCCCCUAGUAACGGCGAGUGAAGCGGGAAGAGCUCAAAUUUGAAAUCUGGCAGUCUUCGAUUGUCCGAGUUGUAAUCUAUAGAGGCGUUUUCCGUGCCGGACCGUGUCCAAGUCUCCUGGAAAGGAGUAUCAAAGAGGGUGAUAAUCCCGUACUUAACACGACCACCGGUGCUCUGUGAUACGUCUUCUACGAGUCGAGUUGUUUGGGAAUGCAGCUCAAAAUGGGUGGUGAAUUCCAUCUAAAGCUAAAUAUUGGCGAGAGACCGAUAGCGAACAAGUACCGUGAGGGAAAGAUGAAAAGCACUUUGGAAAGAGAGUUAAACAGUACGUGAAAUUGUUGAAAGGGAAACGAUUGAAGUCAGUCGUGUUCUUUGGAUUCAGCCAGUUCUGCUGGUCUACUUCCUUGGAACGGGUCAACAUCAGUUUUGUCCGGUGGAUAAAGGUAGUAGGAAUGUGACUUCUCCGGAAGUGUUAUAGCCUAUUAUCACAUACACUGGGUGAGACUGAGGACUGCAGCUCGCCUUUAUGGCCGGCCUUCGGGCACGUUCGAGCUUAGGAUGUUGACAUAAUGGCUUUAAACGACCCGUCUU
rnacentral:rRNA from 1 species